rnacentral:rRNA from 3 species
UGGUUGUCGUCAGCUCGUGUCGUGAGAUGUUGGGUUAAGUCCCGCAACGAGCGCAACCCUUGAUCUUAGUUGCCAGCAUUCAGUUGGGCACUCUAAGGUGACUGCCGGUGACAAACCGGAGGAAGGUGGGGAUGACGUCAAAUCAUCAUGCCCCUUAUGACCUGGGCUACACACGUGCUACAAUGGACAAUACAAAGGGUUGCGAGACCGCGAGGUGGAGCGAAUCCCAUAAAAUUGUUCUCAGUUCGGAUUGCAGGCUGCAACUCGCCUGCAUGAAGCCGGAAUCGCUAGUAAUCGCGGAUCAG